CCUCAGCCUCCCAAGUGCUGGAAUUACAGGUGUGCAUCACCACACCCAGCCUUAUGCUCAUAAAUGUUAUUUUGAUGUAUCAUUUCAUCAUCAAAGAGAACCUCAUUGAAGGAAGGAAGAACAAGAUGAAGGAAGAAAGGUAGAAAGGGAGAGAGAGAAAGAAUGGCACAUAAAUUCACUAGGAUUUGAGUCAUUUUGACUCCCAGGUGACUAAACAAAUUCAUCCAGUGUGGACACAGUGCCAGAGUAGAAUCUACCCACUUUCUAUUCUGUUCCUAUUCACUGCUUCUGGACUGGUGGUAAAACCAGCAGUCACUGUAGCUCUUGAAAGGCCCUCAUUACUUAGGGCUUGACUGAUUCUUUUUAAAAAGCAAAAAGAGCUGAGAAUUCAUCUUCAACCUUUCUGGUAAAUUACAUUUCUACCCUCUUCUAUUCACCCCAUGUUCCUAAAGGGCAUAUUUUCUUUUAUCCAGCAGAGAUGAUUUAACAUUUAAAUUCCCUGAUAGUUUGAAGGAGGGAUGAGCCCUUUUGGAUGUAUUUAUGAAAGAGCACUGGUCAGAAAUUAUUUCCAGGUGAUUUGCACUUAUUGGGCCAUACUGACUAUUUAAGUGAAGUUGGCACGGAUGAGAUGCUAUGUAUGUUGUAUCCAUUGAUAAUAAUUUCAGUGUUGGCAGGAAAAGAAGGAAAUAUACAGAUGAAAUUUAAUCGCUGAAGAGAUUUCUGAAGAGAUUAUUUUAUUUCUUUACAUUUUAUUUCUGGAGAGAUUACCAAGCAUAAUUUGUCAUCCUCAGUGGUCACAGACCUGAUAACUCCACAAUAGUUGGAAGCUCUGGUAUUGCAGUCUUACGGGCUGAAAUUGGAGGCAGUGCUCUGAGUUAAAAUAUACCUACUGUAUUUUAAAGCAUGAAAAUAGGCCUCAAAUUCUGUGUGAAAAUGAAAUUCACGACAUAGAACCAGGACUGGGAAGACAGAACAAAGAAGAUGGAGAACCAGGGCAUGUAUGUCCUGCCAAGAACUAAUGCUUGGUGUUGGAUGGAAGGGGAUGAAUUGACCCAUGGGGUGGGGAGAAUUCAGAGGAAUAUAAUGGUUGGUGGGCUUUGGAGGCAUUGCAGUGGGAAAUGGAGGACUAGACUGGGGAAAGGUGGACCAGAAGAGUUUUCCAGGUAGUUGGGGUCUUAAUGGGCUUUGAUGCAAUGGUGAGACUUGUCAGACCAUUAUGUCUGUGUAAGUGAAUUUUUAUAGAGAAGCUGAGAAGAAAUAGAAUAAGAUUUCAUAGAAGAAGCUAGGAAGUAGGCAGUCUAAGGGCCACGCUAAAAAGGUGAGAGAUGAUUUAGCAACUCAUGAAAGUCGCUAAAAGUUUUCAACAGUGAUAGGAAGCAAUGCUUGUGCACUUUUUUUGUUGAAAGUUUUGACAGGUCAGUUUUUCCUGGCCAUUACCGAGGAAGUGUAGAUUCUGUAGCUGAAUGUUGUCUCAGCAGCACGGAGGCCUGCAGGUUGAACACCGCCUGCUAACAACUUGCCCAGUUGCAGCAGCUGCCUUCUGUGCAUGCAUUGCUCCCAUCUCAGCGAAUUGAGACACAGGAUAUCCCUGCUCUACUGAGUUACCUGAGUGUCACCUACAAACAAACUAAGUAGAUUAGAGGGAAGGGAAACAGUUUGGAUUGUUAAAAACCUCCUGAUUCUACUAUUUUCUGGGCAUUAUAUAAUAAGAAUAUCAUGUAGACCAUCAACAAACUGUAGAGGAUAGUCAGCAGUUCACAAGUGCCAAAUAUGAAUUUCCAUUAUAAAACAUCCUGUCAGAUCAUCAGGUAGCCACUGCUUAGUAACCAGCUAGCGGUCAGUAAAUUUUUUUAAGGAGGAUGGAGCAAGUCAAUGGAAUGAGCGCAAUACAAAUCCUCCUGUCAGUGAUCUUAAAAUCCAACUAGAAAGAGAAACAUGCAGAGCCAUUAGAGAAAGACUAAGGACCUGUGACACAGUACUGCCUUUCAAUAUGGCAGGAACUAAAACAAAAGAGAAAUGCUCUGGUUUGAAGUGGCUCAGCAAGAUGGACUCUUCAGGAAAAGAUGGAGUUUAACAGCUAGGUAAGGGGAGGGCUAGCAUGCCGGGUCUGAAGGCAGGGACAGGAAAUGAUAUUAAUCAGUAACAGUGAGGGGACAGUUACGGAGUAGCCUCUGUGCAUUUGAGCCUUGGUAUAAUUUUGAGAGGAAGAUAGUCCACCUGCCUAAUAGGGAAUACAGGGCACAUGUCAUGAAAACUAUCAUGUGGCACAAAAGAGCUGUUUAUAGUGAGUUUCUAAGUAAAUGAGAACAGCAAACAGCAAGCUAGGCACCAUGGAUCACAAAUGGUUGCACAGCCUUGGCUGGGCUUGUAAGACUGUGUGUUGGGGUAACAGCUGUAGGACUCAAAACUUUCUCUGAAAAAAGUGUUCAGCCAACAGUUCCAGGUCAGGACCAGGUGGAGGAACAGGAAAGAGGAAGGAAAGACAGGAAGAGGGGGUGAAUGCAGUCUGCUGAGAAAGGUGUUGUCUUCAUCCAGGGCAGAAAAAGCUGAGAGCUUCGUAGGGGAAGUCUUCAAGGGCAGAGGAGUGGAGCAAGAAGAGGGCUGCAGUGGGCCCUGCAAUGUGGGAACCCGACUCAUUUGCAUAGGUCCUUGGAAAGGGUAGUACUGGGGUGAGUUCUCCAAAGUGCAAAAUGCAGGUUAAAAAGAUCUGGUGGCAGAUCUCUUUGGGAGUUGUGCCCAUAUUUUUAGAGGCUAACAAGAGCAAAAUAAGUAGACAUUCUUGUGAUAGGAGAUCUGGCAAACUCCAGUUCCAGGAAAAUGGAAAACAAGAGGGGAGAAUUCUAAAAAAAGACAAGGCAGGGUGUUAUAUGAGGUUUGGGGAUGAAGGCUGUUGGAGAUAGUGACUUACAAGUAAAAGGACUCCCUUGAAGGAUAGGUUGCCUAUUUGUCUUUAUCCCCAGAUCUUGCCGCAAGGCCUGCCUGGAAGGUGGUUGGGGUUACCUUGGAUGCCUUGAAAAUGGAGGUUGCACAGGAUGUCUAGGUCGCUGGCACUCUUUCUGAAGCUCCCAGAGAGGGAUCCUGAGGUGGCCUCUCCUUUUCAUCUCCCGUUCAUGUCACAGCAUUGUUGCUCAUCCUUUACCAUACAGCACACAUCUGCAGCUUUAGUUUCAGCCUUCUUAAAUGCCACAAUCACCUUGCUUUGUUGGCUUUUCUGGAGCAGCAGUACCCAGAGAGGUAUUUUGGCCAGGUGAGAAAAUGAUCUUAUUUCUAGGUAGACUUUCACAUUUAAAGAGACUUUCUGUGGUCUAUUUAUUCCCUUGAAGGGUAUUCCAUGUUCCUCCUCUUUCUUUACCUUGCGAUUCAGUAGAACAGGGCCAAAAGUGACACCUAAACUCUCCAGGGCCACCCCAGGCAGCACUGCUGAGACCACUUUUGGGAGUCAGAGAUCAGACUGUGCACACAUCACACAUGUGACCCUGAGUCUCCCUCACUUGGGAUACAGGGUCCGUGUGAGAAGGCAUCUGGCACGGAAGGAAGCUGCCAACAAGGCGGACCAAGCUUCACACCCACACUGCAACAGAACCCCGUGCAUCCCAGAGCGCCUUCCUCCUUUUCCCUUCCUUCCGCCAAAUACACACUUGACCAGAACUGCAACAUGUCAAACAUAAACCAAGAUCUGCCUGGAAAUCCUAAUUACAAACGUUUCAUUCCCAGGUGACAUAAUCACAUCCUGCCGAGAACUUUUGGCUCGCAUCCCACCACCCAGAUGCUGAAAAAGAAACUUUCCCCCACUUACCACUGGAACUUGUACUUGGGGUUCCUUCAGGGGACAAAGAGAGGGAAAAAAAUGUUCAUAAAAGCAGAGGUCAGCCUACAUGUUCAUGAAGGAAAAAGAGCGUGGCUUCUUCAUCUGUGUUUCAUACUUUUGAUGGUUGGCAUUAUGGUUAUGGCUAUGAUGAAUGACUGUGACUGAACAAGAACUGGAGAAGAGAAUAAAUGCUGGUGCUCUGAAAUGAUCUACCCAACUCUGUCAUCUGUAACAACCAGUGAUAACUCUCUUGUCUUGUAAAAAGGGUUUGUACAUAACUUGUACAUGGUUUCAUUUUGUAUUUUUCGCAGAUUAAAAAUUUAUGUAUUUGUGUUCUAAAA